UGGAAGGGAGGCUGGCCUCAGCCUGGCUGCGGCGUCCUACGGCGUCUUCGUGCCUCGGGACUUCCGUUCCGAGACUGGAAACGGUCGAGUGGGAAGGAAAGCUUCGAUUCUAAAAUUAGCCGCGCGUUUGGUGCUUGUAACAAACCAACCGAGGCACAAUUCGACGCGUUCUGAUUAAUUUGUCCGAGCCCAACAGCAGUUGACAAGCGAUCGGAAGAGGUGGACUCCCGCUUCAAGAAGGCGCCCCGACGUGCACGUCGUCAACCAGCCGAGGCUUUCUCUAGUCGCUCUACAUCUAUGCUCCGGACGCUCAAUAUGACGUCAGCGUCGAUGUCGCAAACGAGAAGAAAUUGGCGUAGAAGAAGACGGCGGGCGGAAGUUGGCGCGAGUUUGUUUGAUUUCGAACUCCAUCAAUACCACGUGUAUUGCUUCCGCGCGACGCGGUGCCCUUUGGGGCGCGUCUGGUUUUGGCCGGCCGAGGGGAAAUCAUCUCCAUGCUGUUAAAAGGUCACCUCUUUUCCUGAAACCCAAGGCGCUGUCUCACACUCCAUCGUCUUUUCUCUCUACCGGGGCCCAAUCUGAAGACGGCAACCUUAUUUACACAGGCAGUUUGGCAACUGCAGUUCGCGGUGAGUUGCUUGAUUACGUGAUGACA